GAGUGAACGCUGGCGGUAGACCUAACACAUGCAAGUCGAACGGCAGCACAGUAAGAGCUUGCUCUUACGGGUGGCGAGUGGCGGACGGGUGAGGAAUACAUCGGAAUCUACUUUUUCGUGGGGGAUAACGUAGGGAAACUUACGCUAAUACCGCAUACGACCUACGGGUGAAAGCAGGGGAUCUUCGGACCUUGCGCGAUUGAAUGAGCCGAUGUCGGAUUAGCUAGUUGGCGGGGUAAAGGCCCACCAAGGCGACGAUCCGUAGCUGGUCUGAGAGGAUGAUCAGCCACACUGGAACUGAGACACGGUCCAGACUCCUACGGGAGGCAGCAGUGGGGAAUAUUGGACAAUGGGCGCAAGCCUGAUCCAGCCAUACCGCGUGGGUGAAGAAGGCCUUCGGGUUGUAAAGCCCUUUUGUUGGGAAAGAAAAGCAGCAGGUUAAUACCCCGCUGUUCUGACGGUACCCAAAGAAUAAGCACCGGCUAACCUCGUG
rnacentral:rRNA from 1 species